UAAUACGAAGGGGGCUAGCGUUGUUCGGAAUUACUGGGCGUAAAGGGCGCGUAGGCGGCUCUGAUCGUCGGGUGUGAAAGGCCUGGGCUUAACCUGGGAACUGCAUUCGAUACGGCGGAGCUGGAGUGUGGGAGAGGAUGGUGGAAUUCCCAGUGUAGAGGUGAAAUUCGUAGAUAUUGGGAAGAACACCGGUGGCGAAGGCGGCCAUCUGGACCACAACUGACGCUGAGGCGCGAAAGCGUGGGGAGCAAACAGGAUUAGAUACCCUGGUAGUCCACGCUGUAAACGAUGCGUGCUAGACGUUGGGAGCCCUAGGCUCUCGGUGUCGUCGCUAACGCUUUAAGCACGCCGCCUGGGGAGUACGGCCGCAAGGUUA
rnacentral:rRNA from 1 species